rnacentral:rRNA from 1 species
GACGAACGCUGGCGGCGUGCUUAACACAUGCAAGUCGAGCGGAAAGGCCCUUCGGGGUACUCGAGCGGCGAACGGGUGAGUAACACGUGGGUAACCUGCCCUUCACUCUGGGAUAACUCCGGGAAACCGGGGCUAAUACCGGAUACGACCACUUUAGGCAUCUUCGGUGGUGGAAAGUUUUUCGGUGGAGGAUGGACCCGCGGCCUAUCAGCUUGUUGGUGGGGUAAUGGCCUACCAAGGCGACGACGGGUAGCCGGCCUGAGAGGGCGACCGGCCACACUGGGACUGAGACACGGCCCAGACUCCUACGGGAGGCAGCAGUUAGGAAUUUUGGGCAAUGGGCGCAAGCCUGACCCAGCAACGCCGCGUGGGUGACGAAGGCCUUCGGUUGU